GAGAAGGCGACGAAUAAAUACGCGGAUUCGCGAGAAAUAUUUUGCGGCACGUGGAGAAUGCGGUGUUUACUUGGUCACGAAAGCGACGUCGUCUUCGGCACGCGAUCCUGUUGGUUUUUAGCAAUUGUUCUUUAAUCGGAUAUAUAUUUUUCCACGUGCAGGAAUUGAAAUCCUGGGGCGGGGAGAUGGAUCCGUACACGCUUUGUGUUGCUCCCAAUGUUCGGGUUUGCCUCGUGCUUUGUUGCUUUUUUUUAGGCUGGUGGUGGGCGUCUCGAGGUAAGCAAAUGCUUAGUUCGCCACAAAACAUCUCCAACUGGAUCCAGAGAAGCAGCCUAAGAAUCCAAAAUACCACACGAAUUACACGUUUUAGCCUUGUGGACCAUUGAUUGAAGACCAUAUUUUAUUUAAUAUUUAUAAACAAAGAUUGAUCCACUGUUGAAUAAGUUAUUUUUACCAGCCAUUAAACUCAUGGACUGGUUCUACCUUCUUUGUUUUAUUUUUCCACAGUAAUUAUCC